AGCAGCAGCCGCGGUAAUACGUAGGUGGCAAGCGUUGUCCGGAAUUAUUGGGCGUAAAGCGCGCGCAGGCGGAUCAGUUAGUCUGUCUUAAAAGUUCGGGGCUUAACCCCGUGAUGGGAUGGAAACUGCUGAUCUAGAGUAUCGGAGAGGAAAGUGGAAUUCCUAGUGUAGCGGUGAAAUGCGUGGAUAUUAGGAAGAACACCAGUGGCGAAGGCGACUUUCUGGACGAAAACUGACGCUGAGGCGCGAAAGCCAGGGGAGCGAACGGGAUUAGAUACCCCAGUAGUCCCUGUCUCUUAUACC
rnacentral:rRNA from 1 species